rnacentral:rRNA from 1 species
UACUAGAGUAGCACUCGCAUAUCAAUAAGCGGAGGAAAAGAAACUAACAAGGAUUCCCCUAGUAACGGCGAGUGAAGCGGGAAGAGCUCAAAUUUGAAAUCUUAAAGGGUUUCCCUUUACGAAUUGUAGUUUAAAGAAGUGUUUUCUGUUGAGGUUUUGGUAAAAGUUCUUUGGAAUAGGACAUCAUAGAGGGUGAGAAUCCCGUAUUUGACCCUUACUUUCAACUUUGUGAUACACUUUCAAAGAGUCGGAUUGUUUGGGAAUGCAGUCCAAAAUGGGUGGUAAGUUUCAUCUAAAGCUAAAUAUUGGCGAGAGACCGAUAGCGGACAAGUACCGUGAGGGAAAGAUGAAAAGAACUUUGAAAAGAGAGUUAAACAGUACGUGAAAUUGUCAAAAGGGAAGCGUUUGACACCAGUGUUGUUUUUCUGAAAAUCAAUUAAAGAACUGUUUAUGCUAAGUUGUUUAGACUUUAUCAGCUAUCUGCUUAGUUUUGAGCUUUCCUUUAAUGCACUUUUCAGUUAACAAGUCAACAUCAAUUUCUUUUGCUGUAAAAAAGCUUGAGGAAGGUGGCUUGAGAUUCGUCUUAAGUGUUUAUAGCCUCUUGCCUAUGCAGUCGGAGAGAUUGAGGUCUGCAGCGUAGAUCCUUCGGGGCUAAAUGCAUUUGUGCUAAGUCAUAGCAUUUUAUAGACAACUUGUUGACUAUGAUUUGUCUUGUAGCUUACUCGCUUAUGUUAUUUUACCUACGCUUAGGAUGUUGAACUCUAUCACACACAG